rnacentral:rRNA from 1 species
AUUGAACGCUGGCGGCAGGCCUAACACAUGCAAGUCGAGCGGAUGAGGAAAGCUUGCUUUCCGAUUCAGCGGCGGACGGGUGAGUAAUGCCUAGGAAUCUGCCUGUUAGUGGGGGAUAACUCGGGGAAACUCGGGCUAAUACCGCAUACGUCCUACGGGAGAAAGUGGGGGAUCUUCGGACCUCACGCUAACAGAUGAGCCUAGGUCGGAUUAGCUAGUAGGUGGGGUAAUGGCUCACCUAGGCGACGAUCCGUAACUGGUCUGAGAGGAUGAUCAGUCACACUGGAACUGAGACACGGUCCAGACUCCUACGGGAGGCAGCAGUGGGGAAUAUUGGACAAUGGGCGAAAGCCUGAUCCAGCCAUGCCGCGUGUGUGAAGAAGGUCUUCGGAUUGUAAAGCACUUUAAGUUGGGAGGAAGGGUAUUCACCUAAUACGUGGGUACUUUGACGUUACCAACAGAAUAAGCACCGGCUAACUCUGUGCCAGCCGCCGCAGUAAAAC